ensembl:lncRNA
GGAAAAAUUCUAAAUUCUCUGAUUUCAGCUUCUUAAAGUUGAAUAUUUUCAGUUUUUUUCUGCUUUUAUGACAGAAAACUGAAUAUUUUUGAAAACAACCAGCGUUUUUCUCCAUUUUCUUCUAUUUUAUUGACCAAACUAUUAAUAUAACUGAGAAAAUAAUUUCAGUUAAUUGUUGCAGUUUCCUUUAUAAUCAAUCAGAAAAAUGUCUAAACUCUCUGAUUCCAGCUUCUUAUAUUUGAAGAUUUUUUCUGUCUUUAUGACAUAAAACUUAAUAUUUUGGGGUUUAAGACAAAGCAAGACACAAUAAAUUGGUCUAUAAAAAGUCAGAAAAUGGUGAAAAAUGUCAAACACCUCGACUAACCGAGAAAAUAAUCAGUUUAUCAGUUAAUUAUUGCAGCUCUACAGUCACUGUCCUUAAAAUCAAUUAAUUGUCAACUAUGGAAUCAUCCAGCAGCUGUUCUGAUCUUUGAUUUUAGGUUGUUUUUUUAAAUGGAAAAAGUCUAAAUUCCUUGAUUCCACCUUCCUAAAGUUGAAUAUUUUCAGGUUUUUUUCUGCUUUUAUGACAGAAAACUGAAUAUUUUUUGAAAACAAUUGAGAUUUUUCACCAUUUUCAUCCAUUUUAGAGACCAAACUAUAAGUUUAAAUCUGUCAAUCAAAAAAAUGUCUAAAUUCUCUCAUUCCAGUGUCUUAAAUUUGAAUAUUUUUUUCUGUCUUUAUGACAUAACACUGAGCAUUUUGAGGUUUUAUGCAAAGCAAGGCAUGAUAAAUCGGUCUAUAAAAAGUCAGAAAUGGUGAAAAAUGUCAAAUAACACCUCGAUUAACUAAGAAAAUGAUCAUUUUCUCAGUUAAUUAUUGAAGCUCUGCAGUUAGUUUCCUUUAUAAUCAAUUAUUUGUCAACUGUGGUGACAUCUGCAGCUGUUCUGAUCAUAGAUUUUAUGUUUUUUUUAAGGACAAAAGGUCUAAAUUCUCUGACUCCAGCUUCUUAAAGUUGAAUAUAUUCAGUUUUUUUCUGCUUUUAUGACAGAAAACCUAAUGUUUUUAAAAACAAUCAACAUUUUUCUCCAUUUCUUCUAUUUUAUUGACCAAACAGCAAAUCUUAGUCAUUCAGGACCUGAAGCUGUGCAGUUAUUCCAGUUUGCGUCUAAAUUUCAGAGAAGCUCUUCUGUGAGGAUCUGAUGGGGAAACUUUGGUGGAUUUAGUUUGAACCUCCUGCUGUGCCUUGAGUCCUGAACAGAACAGAACAAAUCAGCGUCUUUGUUGGAUUCGAGGCGUUUCUAACCUCCUGCACGACGUUGUUGAAGCUCGGCUCGCUGCACUGCCUCGUCCUCGUGACGUCCAAUCAGAUUCCAGAGCAACAAUCACCUUCCUUCCCAUCCUGGUGCCCAGAGUCUGCCUCACUUUAAGCAAUACUCGCUUCUCCUCCACCUGGAUGUUUGUCUCACCGUCGAUGGAUGAAACUUCAGGUGCUUCGGUCUCUGCAGGGUUCCUUCAGGAACCUUUAGGGUUCUUCUGGUUGAACACAGCAAACCCACUGGAGCCUUCUCAUGAAGCCUGAAGCAGCUUUUUAUUCCUGGAUGCUGCUGCAGGUUGAGGACUGAGGAACAAAAAAAUAAAAACAAACCUUCAAAUGUGCUUCAAGAACUCUCAGGAGGAGAUUUAAGGAGUUACCUGGUCCUCCAUCACCUCAAACUGCAGCUUAUUUAUGGUUUCAUGUCCGCCUGCUGCUCUUCUUCUACUACUUUCUCUUCUACUUCAUCUUCUACGACUUCAUCUUCUUCUCCUACAUAUUCUUCUAAUUCUUCUUGUUCUACAACUUCUAACUUCUACUCUUUCUAACUUUUCCUUGUUCUUUUUCUAACAUCUUGUUCUACUUCUCCUACAUCUUCUCCUUCUGUCUGCUACUACAUCUUUUCGUCCACUACUUCUUCUGCUACUACUUCUAACGUCUUCUUCUACUUCUUCUACCUGCUUCUUCUUCUAUUAUUGCUUCUCCUCCUCAUUCAUCAUCUCCUCUUCCUUCCUGUCAGACCAGGUCCACUCUUUCCUCCAACGACACAGGUGCUGUUUUUGUAAUGUUUACAGGGAUUUUGUUGUUUCAAAGUGAUGCAGAUUAAAAUAUUCUAAAUGGUGGAA